rnacentral:rRNA from 1 species
UUGGAAGUAAAAAGUCGUAACAAGGUCUCCGUAGGUGAACCUGCGGAGGGAUCAUUACACAAAUAUGAAGGCGGGCUGGAACCUCUCGGGGUUACAGCCUUGCUGAAUUAUUCACCCUUGUCUUUUGCGUACUUCUUGUUUCCUUGGUGGGUUCGCCCACCACUAGGACAAACAUAAACCUUUUGUAAUUGCAAUCAGCGUCAGUAACAAAUUAAUAAUUACAACUUUCAACAACGGAUCUCUUGGUUCUGGCAUCGAUGAAGAACGCAGCGAAAUGCGAUAAGUAGUGUGAAUUGCAGAAUUCAGUGAAUCAUCGAAUCUUUGAACGCACAUUGCGCCCUUUGGUAUUCCAAAGGGCAUGCCUGUUCGAGCGUCAUUUGUACCCUCAAGCUUUGCUUGGUGUUGGGCGUCUUGUCUCUAGCUUUGCUGGAGACUCGCCUUAAAGUAAUUGGCAGCCGGCCUACUGGUUUCGGAGCGCAGCACAAGUCGCACUCUCUAUCAGCAAAGGUCUAGCAUCCAUUAAGCCUUUUUUUCAACUUUGACCUCGGAUCAGGUAGCAUGCCGA